UUCUAGUACAAGCCUCGCCCCACUGUAGCAAAGCUCCGCCCCCUGGAUAUAAAGUGCUGACAAGGGUCUGAUCUCCAGACAAGCAUCAUGUCGCCACGGAACCUGAUCUUGGUGUCCUUGCUGGUCGUCCUGGUCCCGCCAGUGUCAGCUGCUCCUAUGGAAGAGCAUGAGGAGGCGGAGCCUACUGAGGAGGUGGAGGGUGAGCAGUCGGAGGAGGAGGAGGAUGAUGACGACUCCACAAAGGAGGUGCAAGAAACACAAGCUGCAUUCAUACCCCCCACCCCACCUUCCUCUCCAGCAGGACCUCCUGGUGCCCCCCAGACGGCAGGCGGAGCUUCAGGUAUGAGACCCCACGUGCCGUCUACUGUCCAUGGCAGCGGUUGGCAGGAUGGCGCGGCCGGAGGACACUCCGACGGAAGCACGGGCAGCUCUGGUGGUUCUGACGCGGUGGACUCUUAUUCAAACGGUAACGGACAGAAGCUGUUGAACGGAAGGGGAGGAGCCGAGGGACAAACAGGUGUGCUGAUGUCACUUGAGGGUGGAGCUUCUCCCCUGGAGCACGCAGGAACCGUGGAAGCACACUUACAUCACUUCCUGUUGGACCUGCUGGGCCGCACACCAACCAGCAUGGACGCCACAGGAAGUCUCAUGGACGCUCGUGCCAUCAGCCAAUCACCCUCUAGUCCCCACUCAAGCCACGACCAAUCCACUGCCCGGCAGGACUCAUCAUCUUUCUCAUCACCAGCUCAACAGACAGCAGGAAGUCAGCUGAUGGACACAGAUGGAGUGUCCGCCCGACCGGCGUCCUUCAGGGAUCUUCACGCUCACAGCGUCCCGUGGGCCCCCACGGGUACGACCGUUCUACCGCGGGGUUCCACAAUCAAUGCUUUUCUUCAUCUUUGGACCGCCAGUGUCAGCAGGCACCGUGACAGCACCAUUACAGGGUCCUCGCCUGUGGUCACCCGCACCGAGCUGGCAGAUGGCGACCUGGCACACACUCCGCACUCAGGAACACACACAUGGCGCACUGACACCGUUACCAUGGCAACAGCCCCAAUCUUUGCAGAGGCAUCAGGAACUCCACUCCACUCCAGUGCUGUACAGGUGACUGAGGACUUCCACAAGGCUGGUAAGUCUCUCCAGUGUGUUCACAUCAGAGAUGUUGGUCAGAAUUAGUACAAUGAAUGAUAAUGAUAUUUUAAGGAUAGUUGGAAUAUUUUCACAUGAAGUUAUCAUCUCCUUCAGCACUGUAGUGUCCAGUUCUGGCCAGAUUUCAGUGAUGAGGAAUAUUGUUCUGGUUAGUUCCUGAGUCAUUUAAGUCAUGAGUUUGGCUUCUCAAAACAAUAUGCUUUCAAAGCACUAAUACAUUUACAUGACAAAAAUGCCUCCUCACGAAACUCACACCUCACACUCACUCGCUUCCACUUCCACUGUGGAACACACACACACUAAAGGACAGGCUAUCGCCAUCCGUGCCAGUAAACUGUGGAACACACACACAACAAAGGACAGGCUAUCGCCAUCCGUGCCAGUAAACAGUGUGGAACACACACAACAAAGGACAGGCUAUCGCCAUCUGUGCAUGUAAACAGUGUGGAACACACAAAACAAAGGACAGGAUAUCGCCAUCCGUUCAAGUAAACACUGUGGAACACACACAACAAAGGACAGGGUAUCGCCAUCUGAGCACCAGUGGGCUGAUGGGACCAAAUGUCACCGUUGACGUACAGGACAUUUGGAAAGUAUUCACAGCGCUUCAUAUUUUCCACAUUUGUUUAUGUCACAGCCUUAUUCCAAAAUUGAUUCAAUUCAGAUUUGCCCGCCGAAAACGAAGUGGUGGGUCUACAAGGGGGAGAUCCUGUGUGGCUUAUUCUGGCUGGGACCGGCCGGGCCCCACUGGUGAAGGCCCAACCACCAGACGCUCGCCUGUGAGCCCUUCCCCCGGGCCUGGCUCCAGGGUGAAGCCCCAGUAUCUCACAUCCGGGCGAGGGUAGCUGGAGUCACCCUAAGAGAUAGACUGAGAAGCCGCUCCUCCUUCACAUCAAGAGGUGUCAGUUGAGGUGGCUCGGGCAUCUAGUCUGGAUGCCUCCCGGACGCCUCCCUGGUGAGGUGUUCCGGGCAUGACCAGCCCGAAAAGGCCCCGGGGCAGACCUAGGACACACUGGAGGGAUUUUGUCUCACAGCUGGCCUGGGAACACGUUGGUCUCCUCCCGGUGGAGCUGGAGGAGGUGGCCGGGGACCGGGAAGUCUGGGCUUCCCUACCGAGACUGCUGCCCCCGCGACCCGGAUAAGCGGAGGAAAAUGGAUGGAUGGAUUCAAUGCAUAUUUUUCUCAAAAAGUCUACACACAACACCCCAUAAUGACAAUGUGAAAAAUGUUUUUCUUUUAAUUGUGGGAAAUGUAUUAUAAAUUAAAAAGUGAAUAAUCACAUAAUCACACAAGUAUCACAGCCUUUGGCGUGAAACUCCAAAUGGAGCUCAAGUACAUUCUGUUUCCACUGAUCAUCCUUUAGAUCAGGGGUGUCAAACAUACGGCCCGCGGGCCGGAUCCGGCCCGUCUGGUGGUUUGGUACGGCCCGGGGAAGAAAGCUGCAUUGUAUAAAAAAAAUAUGAAUUUAAUUUAAAAAUUGUAGUUCUUGUAUUAUCCGCUAGGGGGCGCAUUUUCCCUGUUUAAAAGAUAUGUGCGCAGCAAGCGUUAAUUCUGACGUGAAACGGUACAAAGAGAAGAUUUCAGGGCUGUUGAUGGAGUUUGAGAAAAGAUUUCAGGUUUUUAGCGAACUCGAAACAGAUUUUGCAGUUUUUCGCUCAACAGUGAAGGUUAUUCAUUUGUUCAAAUUGCUUUCCAGAUGUUGAAAAACAGUGUUUUUAAGUUCCACAAGGCUGGUAUAAAUGUUUUUGGAACAUUGUUACUAAUUCUGUGAUCAGUUUUAUGUACAACACACUUAAAUAUAUGUUUAACUGUGUAAAAGUGUUGUUAAAAUUGCACAUACUUUAUUUAUGUUCUUAUGUUAUUCUCUUGUUCAUAAUAUAUUGUUCAUAAUGUAAAAGGAAAAUUCUGUUAAUAAACAUUUUGAUAAUUUAUUCAUUCUUUGCACAAAUUAUUAGUAUUAGUGACUAAUACAAAGGAAAAAAGUGGGCUUAUUGUUAGUUCUAUGUCAUUUUGCAAUGAGUUUACUGGUCCGGCCCGCUUGAUCUCAAAUUAAGCUGUAUUCGGCCCGCAGACCAAAGGGAGUUUGACACCCCUGCUUUAGAUGUUUCAGUAGCUUCAUUGGAGUGGUAAACAGUUGGUUGGACACGAUGUGGAAAGGCACACCUUGUCUCGCUCACUUUGGCUGGAAUUGGCCAAAGGGGCAUCAACAAAGUAUUGGGCAGAGGCUGUGGAUACUUAUGGUCAUGUCACUUCUUUAUUUUUAAUAAAUUAGCAAUUACAAAAAUGUUUUUUUCACAUUGCUGUUAUGGGGUGUUGUGUGUACAAUUUCAGAGAAAAAAAUGUAUUUAAUCCAUUUUGGAAUAAAGCUGUGACAUCAAAAAAUGUGGUAAAUGUGAAGCGCUGCAAAUAAUUUCCGGAUGAACUGACCUACACUGUUGAUGGAUAUGCAUGUCUAAACAUCCCAACUAUCCCUUAAAGGGGACCUAUGAUGACUUUUCUGACCUAUAAAAUGUAGUUAAAAUGUUGUAUUCUGGUGUUGAACCAUGCCAAAGUUUCAGAUGACAGGGUUUGCGCAUUUGGAAGUGAGCCCUGAA